GGGCGAGUGGCGGAAUGGCAGACGCGCCGGCCUUAGGAGCCGGUGUCACGCGAGUGACGUGAGGGUUCGACCCCCUCCUCGCCCACCA
rnacentral:tRNA from 1 species